rnacentral:rRNA from 1 species
UACGUAGGCAGCAAGCGUUGUUCGGAGUUACUGGGCGUAAAGGGCGCGUAGGCGGCUCUGCACGUCCGUUGUGAAAUCGCCCGGCUCAACUGGGCGGGGUCAGCGGAUACGGCGGAGCUUGAGCAAGCUAGGGGGCAAUGGAAUUCCCGGUGUAGUGGUGGAAUGCGUAGAUAUCGGGAGGAACACCAGUGGCGAAGGCGGUUGCCUGGGGCUUUGCUGACGCUGAUGCGCGAAAGCGUGGGGAGCGAUCCGG